rnacentral:lncRNA from 1 species
AGAGCAAAGAUACACUCUUCCCAAUAAAGCCAUAAUCACACAACUUGUAUCUGAGAUAUGAAAUAGUUUACUGAAAUAAGUACCAAGGACUUUAUCUACAUAAUCACUAUAUCAUAAACCACCUGCACCAAAAGUAAACGUUCCUCAAAACAAAUACAAAUAACCUUAAAAUUCUAGGAAAAUUUAGAAUAACACAAAUAUAGGAAAGUCCAGUUUGAAUGUGCAAAACCUGCUUCCACCUGUCAGAAAGUAAACACAUAGUUCAAAGUAAACUAGAACCAUUCCACUUUUAUUAUUGCCUUGGGUUAUUGAAGUGAAAUCCAAGCACAUCAAAAAUCAAGUAAAAUUCAGACACAAACAAGACGAUACAUUUUAUAUUAGAAAAGAGGUAGUUUGGAAGUUUUUGUAAAUAUUAGGACAUAAAUCCAAAACCCACAUAAGCAGUUCGUAAAUGAGCAUUUUCUCAACAAUCAAGUUUUUGUAAAUUAAUCUUUUAUCUAAUGCACCUCAACCAACUAGGCCUUUGGGCCCAGAAGUAGUUAACUUGCAAUAGAGCUUGUUUCUUUAGGCUCAAAUACUAUCUUACGAGGGUCGGAAAUAAAAAGAAUCCGGCUUAAAAAAAAAAAAUCAGUGUACGCUCUUUAAUAAUCAAAAGUAUAAGGCAUAAGGCCUUUCAUUCCAGGAGACAGGCCAUGACUAUCCCGGGAUGUUAUCCGUAGUACAGUGCUCUCCUUAAUAAAAUUUACCAUUAAAACGACGAAUGAUAGACUAAGAAGAAACAUCAUUAAUAAAAAAAAAAAAAAAAGGUAUGGAGGUUCCAAUCAUGACUAUCACAGUUCAUUUUCAGCUAUUUCAGGGCUGGCAGAAAGGUUUAAUACACCCACACACCCCCAAGGGAGGGGGAAACCACCAACCUCCUCCCAGGGAGUUUAAUGAAAAUUAGCAGGUAAAAGAGGCCUCCUCAGCAGCACGCUGAAAAUCAAAGAGGGCGGCCGAAGGGCCGAAGGAUUCGGACUGCGGAGGAAAGCUUCGUCCUCGGACCCCACCUCCCUUCACCUUCCCGGCAGGACGAAGGAGGCGAAGGCUCAUUAGUGCCUUCGUUAAUUGACACCUGUAAUGAGGAAACUUUCCGAGAGAUAUAUGCAGUGAAGUCUAAAAACCCCAGCAACUCAGUACUCACAAUCAUCCAUUUACAAUGGCCCUGGAAGACACUCUUCACUCUACUUUGCUUACAUAAUUUUACCCUGAGGUAAGAUACUGAGUAUAUAACAUCUACAAGACAAAAAACAAGAACACUCUAUGAAAGCAUGAUACAUUUUGUUCCUUUUUUUUUUUUUUAAUUAAGAGAGAGAGAGAGCACAAGUGGGGAGAGGCGAGGAAGAGGGAGAGA